rnacentral:rRNA from 1 species
UGGGGAAUCUUGGACAAUGGGCGCAAGCCUGAUCCAGCCAUGCCGCGUGAGUGAUGAAGGCCCUAGGGUUGUAAAACUCUUUCGCCGAGGACGAUAAUGACGGUACUCGGAGAAGAAGCUCCGGCUAACUUCGUG